rnacentral:rRNA from 1 species
GACGAACGCUGGCGGCGUGCUUAACACAUGCAAGUCGAACGGAAAGGCCCUGCUUUUGUGGGGUGCUCGAGUGGCGAACGGGUGAGUAACACGUGAGUAACCUGCCCUUGACUUUGGGAUAACUUCAGGAAACUGGGGCUAAUACCGGAUAGGAGCUCCUGCUGCAUGGUGGGGGUUGGAAAGUUUCGGCGGUUGGGGAUGGACUCGCGGCUUAUCAGCUUGUUGGUGGGGUAGUGGCUUACCAAGGCUUUGACGGGUAGCCGGCCUGAGAGGGUGACCGGCCACAUUGGGACUGAGAUACGGCCCAGACUCCUACGGGAGGCAGCAGUGGGGGAUAUUGCACAAUGGGCGGAAGCCUGAUGCAGCAACGCCGCGUGCGGGAUGACGGCCUUCGGGUUGUAAACCGCUUUCGCUCAUGACGAAGCUUUGUGUGACGGUAGUGGGUAAAGAAGCACCGGCUAACUACGUG